rnacentral:rRNA from 1 species
AAUGAACGCUGGCGGCGUGCCUAACACAUGCAAGUCGAACGGGAAAGCGACCGGCAACGGUUGCGAGUAUAGUGGCGAACGGGUGAGUAACGCGUAGGCAAUCUAUUUUCGAAAUUGGGAUAACAUGGCGAAAGCGAUGCUAAUACCGGAUAUAACCGGAAGAGCUUAGGAUUUUCCGGUGGAAGGCGGUCACUGCGAGCAAACUGCCGUUCGAAAGUGAGCCUGCGUGCCAUCAGCUAGUCGGUAGGGUAACGGCCUACCGAGGCGACGACGGUUAGCCGGUCUGAGAGGAUGAUCGGCCACACCGGAACUGGAACACGGUCCGGACUCCUACGGGAGGCAGCAGUGAGGAAUUUUGCGCAAUGGGCGAAAGCCUGACGCAGCAACGCCGCGUGAGUGAUGAAAGCCUUCGGGCUGUAAAGCUCUGUCGAGAGGGAAGAACCUUUUUCUGUUAAACAGACGGGAAGACUGACGGUACCUUUCAAGGAAGCACCGGCUAACUCCGUGCCAGCCGCCGCAGUAACAC